rnacentral:lncRNA from 1 species
CUGUAACAUAUAUGUGGGACUCCACACUGGACAAACAAAAGCAGCCAUCACAAAGCAGAGACAAUGGCACGAAAUGCACAUGAUGGUAGAAGUUCUCUUCUCUACCACUUAGGCAGAAAUAAGAGGUCAGGCCAACUCCAUGGAAUUUUCAGGCUAAUAGAGGAUAAUCCUCCAUAUUGUAAAUCCCAGGAGGACAAGACUGUGAAUUCUUCUUCAUAUCAUCAAGGCCUACUUAUGCUAGAUGACCAUUUAAUAUUUGUUGCAAUGCAUACAAAUAAAAACUAUAAGUUUGAAUAGCUCAUAAAAACAACUCUCAGUUAUCUAACCUCUACAAGCAACAUUUUGGGUCAUUGUGAGACUUGAGGUAAUUGCCAUUUACCAGUUACAGAUAUAAGAUGUUCGUGGUCUGUUUAUUCCUCUCAGUAAAACAUCUGUCAUAUCAUAGCCUGGGUGCUUGCAUAAUUUGGAACUGUUGCCAAUCAACUUAGAUGCCUAGUCUUCAUGUUUCUCUGUGGCCAAAAGCCAACGCAAGUGUCACUUUCCCACAGAGUAUCUUGAACCAUCCAAACCACAAACAUCUCCAGCACAUGGUUUCCAUUAUAACAAUCCUGGGUAUCUGUCAAAAGUGAAGAGCAGGAGGUUGUAACUCUGAGGAGAGAAGACAGACUGGAGAGCCAAUCAAAUUUCAAACUAUACUUUGCUGUGGGCAUGGAUGGAGAAGCAGGUCACAUCUGAUGAAUGAAGAGGAGCUUCCAAGCAGCCAAAGUAAAGUAUUUUGCUACACAAACUGCAGGAUCAAUGUUCGUGUUUUGAAGCUCAAGAGAUUGACAGCUGUAGAAAUUAAGUUCCAGAAUAUAUCCACCAGCCAGACAGGAUGAAGAAAUGAAUAUAACUAAAAGAAGAGGGAAACCUCAGAGCUAAAUUUCAGCAAAGUUGACAUGAGAUACAGAUUGGCAACCUGCAUAACAGUGUAUUUUAUUAGCUAUCCAAGUUUUGAUGGAAAUUAAAA